CACGGGAGCUUGCUCCUGGUGGCGAGUGGCGAACGGGUGUAAWAAUGCGUCGGAACGUACCGAGUAAUGGGGGAUAACGCAGCGAAAGUUGUGCUAAUACCGCAUACGCCCUGAGGGGGAAAGUGGGGGAUCGCAAGACCUCACGUUAUUCGAGCGGCCGACGUCUGAUUAGCAUGUUGGUGAGGUAAUGGCUCACCAAGGCGACGAUCAGUAGCGGGUCUGAGAGGAUGAUCCGCCACACUGGAACUGAGACACGGUCCAGACUCCUACGGGAGGCAGCAGUGGGGAAUUUUGGACAAUGGGGGCAACCCUGAUCCAGCCAUUCCGCGUGAGUGAAGAAGGCCUUCGGGUUGUAAAGCUCUUUCAGCCGGAACGAAACGGUACGCCUUAAUACGGUGUGCUAAUGACGGUACCGGCAGAAGAAGCACCGGCUAACUACGUGCCAGCAGCCGCGGUAAUACGUAGGGUGCGAGCGUUAAUCGGAAUUACUGGGCGUAAAGCGUGCGCAGGCGGAUUGUUAAGCAAGAUGUGAAAUCCCCGGGCUUAACCUGGGAAUGGCAUUUUGAACUGGCAGUCUAGAGUGUGUCAGAGGGGGGUGGAAUUCCACGUGUAGCAGUGAAAUGCGUA
rnacentral:rRNA from 1 species